UACGGGGGAUGCAAGCGUUAUCCGGAAUUAUUGGGCGUAAAGCGUCUGUAGGUUGCUUAGUAAGUCUGUUGUUAAAGACUGGGGCUUAACCCCAGGAAAGCAAUGGAAACUGUUGAGCUAGAGUGUGGUAGAGGUAGAGGGAAUUCCUAGUGUAGCGGUGAAAUGCGUAGAUAUUAGGAAGAACACCGGUGGCGAAAGCGCUCUACUGGGCCAUUACUGACACUGAGAGACGAAAGCUAGGGUAGCAAAUGGG
rnacentral:rRNA from 1 species